GACGAACGCUGGCGGCGUGCUUAACACAUGCAAGUCGAACGGAAAGGCCCUGCUUUUGUGGGGUGCUCGAGUGGCGAACGGGUGAGUAACACGUGUGUAUCCUGCCCUUGACUUUGGGAUAACUUCAGGAAACUGGGGCUAAUAUCGGAUAGGAGCUCUUGCUGCACGGUGGGGGUUGGAAAGUUUCGGCGGUUGGGGAUGGACUCGCGGCUUAUCAGCUUGUUGGUGGGGUAGUGGCUGACCAAGGGUUUGACGGGUAGCCGGCCUGAGAGGGUGGCCGGCCACAAUGGGACUAAGGGACGGCGCAGACGCCUACGGGAGGCAGCGGUGGGGAGUAUUGCGCAGUGAGCGGAAGCCUGAUGCGGCGGCGCCGCGUGCGGAAUGACGGCCUUCGGGUUGUAAACCGCUUUCGCCUGUGACGAGGCGUGAGUGACGGUAAUGAGUAAGGAAGCACCGGCUAACUACGUG
rnacentral:rRNA from 1 species